CCCAGAACCCAUAGAACUUUGUCUCAUGUCUAGGGCCUCUAUUAGGUCACAAGGGGUGGGGCUAGAACCUCACCUGCCCAUAAGGCUCUGCCCAGGAAUAAUUUCCUUUUCCAGAGCCUCCCAAAGCACUAACAACUCAGAUGUCUCCUACCUUCCCUCUUAGGAAGGCAUUAAAGGGGAAGAGAGGAUGGCUUUGGCCCGCAAUAAACUGGGUUCAAAUCCCAGCUCUACCACAUAAAUAUAAAAGUUAUCUGAUGUUCAGCAUGGUAUCUCUCUGACCCUCAGUCUCUUCAUCUCCUGAGGACAAAGUUCUGGGAGAUCGGCAUUGACUAUGUAAGUAACAACAACGGCCUAAAGAAGCAACAAGAAAGGAACCGAGUGCCUGGAGAACUUCAUGGAGCAGAGCCACUUGCCUACUUUGGAUCAUCUGUCUCUAAGAGAGGGAAAUAAACAUUUCUUUUGUGUGAGCCACUGUUUUCAGUGGCCUUUUUGUUAUAUGUAGCAGCUUAGCUUGGCCCUAACUAAUAAAGGCAGACAUGUGGCUGCCUCUAUUGCAGAAGGGCUUUCUCUGUGUGAUAGGAAUGCAUCCCCCAAAUCUUCGCCAUCUGAUUGGGAAAAGAACCUGGCCCUAUAGCUCCA
rnacentral:lncRNA from 1 species